rnacentral:rRNA from 1 species
UACGAAGGGGGCUAGCGUUGCUCGGAAUCACUGGGCGUAAAGGGUGCGUAGGCGGGUCUUUAAGUCAGAGGUGAAAUCCUGGAGCUCAACUCCAGAACUGCCUUUGAUACUGAGGAUCUUGAGUAUGGGAGAGGUGAGUGGAACUGCGAGUGUAGAGGUGAAAUUCGUAGAUAUUCGCAAGAACACCAGUGGCGAAGGCGGCUCACUGGCCCAUUACUGACGCUGAGGCACGAAAGCGUGGGGAGCAAACAGG